rnacentral:misc_RNA from 1 species
GUUUGAAUUGUGUAAGUUUAUUGGUUUUGAUGCUUGACUUGGAUUUUUAUCGUUUAAGUUGAUUGCUUGAAGCUUGCUUCUUUCAUUUUUAAUGUGAAUUUAAUAUUUUCUAUUGCAAUAGCUUCCUUACAAUUGGAUAAUUGUCAUUGAAUUAGGAAAAAAUGGGGAAAAAAAUAGAGCCUUUAUGUUCUGUGUUUAGUGGAUCUAACGUGUGGACUUUUGGAGCCAAUUGAUU